UAGUUACUAGUUAUGGACCCGUAGGUCUAUGGUGAACUACUCACGCAUCAUCGGAGAGGUCAUGGUGUUGAUGAAGAAGCCCUCCGUGUUCGAAUCCCCCCUCCGGCAGGGCACCAGAAUGUGCCCCAGAUGGGAUCUUGCGGAGACAGAAGCUUGCGGCGGCGGAAAAGUACUUUCGAUGAUCUCUUGAUUUUUUCUGGAAUUUAUGGGAUUAUAUAGGCGAAAGAUCUAGGUCAGGGGACCUCCAGGGGGCCCACAAGCUUGGAUGGCGCACCCCCCUGGCCGCGGGGUGGGAGCUUGUGGGGCCCCUGGAGCUCCUCUAGCAUGGCUCCAAGUUCUCCGAUCUUCUUCCGUUCCAAAAAAAAUCUUUUCGGGGAUUUUCUUCCGUUUGGACUCCGUUUCAAAAUCUCCUCUGAAAGGGGUCAAAAACAUGGAAAAAAACAGGAACUGGCACUUGGCACUGAGUUAAUAAGUUAGUCCCAGAAAAUAUAUAAAAGGCAUGCAAAACAUCCAAAGUUUGACAAGAUAAUAGCAUGAAACCAUCAAAAAUUAUAGAUACGUUGGAGAUGUAUCAAAGCUCAACCUUAACAGGUCUUUACUGAACUGCUGGUAUGUCAAAACAGUGAUUGAAACGAAGGAACACAAUGUGCCAUUGAGAUCUGGUGGGGGAUUGUUGAAAUCUGUGAUGGGCCUUAGGCCCAUAAGAGAAUUUCGGAAACCUCCAAGGGCCCAUGUAGGCGGUGGCAUGACAAGGUGGUGGUGGGAAGUUUAGUCCCACCCCGCUAGUGGAGAAGAAGUUGGACCCCUUUACAACGGUCUCUCUUCUACAUGCUAUUGAAGAGUGAGAAGAUAAGAGGCCCUCGCGCACUCCUCCUCCGCCGCCCGCCUCGCCACGACGCGCCGCGGGAAUGAGCCAAGCCGAGCUCAUACCUACGCGCUUAUUUUUGCCGGUCAAGAACGAAGAAUACGCAACGAAUGCACCACGAUCUGAGACGUCAGAUCGUGGGUUGUUACCGACUCGGACGGGGGUUCAGCCCACGUCUCUCCAUCCGGCCGCCUAUAUAAGCAGGGCUAACGUCAACCCUAGCCGUCACAAGAUCAUAUCGCCUCUGCCUCACGCGCUCGUUACUUUUGCUGCUACUGCCGUCGGCGACUCCGUCCCGUUCACCGCGUACACAGUCGACGGGAGAGCAGGCCUCCAAAACCCCGCCUCUCCGGAUACUGUACGAGAGAGGGGCGAUUAGGUUUUCGGGCAGCGAUCACGCGACUGCUCGACUCCGUCCGUUUGUUUCGUCUACGUCCGCGUCUCCCUUGUCACUGCCAUGUCUUCGCCAAGAGAAGCUGGCUGUCUCCUCCUCGAGAAGGCCGAAGGCCAUGUCUUCGCCAAGCGAAGCUGGCCGUCUCCUCCUCGAGAAGGCCGAAGGCCAUGUCUUCGCCAAGCAAAGCUGGCCGUCUCCUCCUCGAGAAGGCCGAAGCGGAGAAGAAGGCGGCAGAGGAUGCCGUCGCCGCCAAUGCUGCUGUUACGGCCAAGUGGCCAAUCGGAGGGUAUAACCUAUUUAUCCCGCUCAUGUUUAUUUUUGCCCUAAUGGUACUAGCUAUAUGGGUAGAUGUUUCUGCUAUAUGCAUAGUAAUUGCUAGUAUCCUCUGUGAUUUGUAUGUCAUGAAUCUAGUCAAUGUCAUGUUAGUAAUUAUUUCAUGGAUUAAUCUACUCGGAAAAUUGACUAUUUAGUCAACAGUAUCUAGACCAUCAGAUCGAAGAAGAAUGGACAAGACGACCUAGGCACUGUAGAGUUUUGUUGUAGAUUUCAAAAAUACUAUGAUGUUUUUUUUAAUCAAACAAUCCUAUGCGUUCAUUUGGUGAAUUGAUGAAUGAGAUCCAUCCAAUGGUAGAAUGGGAUUUUUUCACGAUUUUGACCCAUGGGAUGAAAGUAUUGCACGGAAUGAACUCUGAUUGAAAACAUUUCACGAUCUGAUUUUUUUUAAACGCCAGAGCCCGUGGCGUUGCAGACGCACAUAGAAACGCCAAUGUAAUGUGGCGUUGCAGACCCACUCAAACGCCAGUCUAAUGUGGCGUUGCAGACCCACUCAAACGCCAGUCUAUGUGACGUUGCAAGCCACGCGUGAAACGCCAUGGUCCAUGGUGUUUCAUCAGUACACAUGUUGCUAGCAGCAUGCCGUGGGCUGGCUGGAUGUCGUCGCUGCGUUCCAUAGUGGGUCUGCAACGCCAGCACUGUUGGCGUUUCACAAUGGGCCUGCAACGCCACAUUAGACUGGCGUUGCAAGAAAGAAAUAACGCCACGGUAGACAGGCGUGUCACUGUUGGGCAGCAACACCAGCACUGUUGGCGUUUCACAGUGGGCCUGCAACGCCACUUUAGACUGGCGUUGCAAAAAAGAAAAAACGCCACAGUAGACAGGCGUGUCACUGGAGGGCAGCAACGCCAUGGUAGACAGGCGUUGCAUAGUGGGCAGCAACGCCACGGCUUGUGGCGUUUCUAAAAAGGUCAGAUCGUGAAAUGCUUUCAAAUCUGGUUCAUUUUGUGCUCAUGUUUAGAAAAAAGGUAAAAACAGUGAAAAAAUCCGGUAGAAUGCUCUAGGUCUGUACCAUCUUUUCUUCUGAACAAUCAUUUUUGUUAACACUAACCAUCUCUUCGAUCAACGUUGAAUAGAUCAUUGGUGCGGAUUCUCCACCAUGUGUUCUGGAUAAUCGAAUUUAAGUUUACAGAUUCAUGACGUGGCAGCUGCGACCUGUGAGCCUUUCGACAAAGAAAGUUCCACUUCACUACUGGGCAUGCCAUUGACAACAGGGCAUCACUGAGUUGUCUAAAGCUGAAUGUGCUCUCCCAACCCAGCCCACCCUGGUGCUCGUGUUAAUCUUUUCUAAAUCAAAAUGAUGCCGUUGUUGCUUAGGUUGGUUUUGUAGUUCCCGAGGACUUGAGCUGCACAUGUACUCCCUCUGUUCCUUUUUCUUUUUUGAGACUUCACUAAGUAACUAAUUCCUCCGUUCUUAAAUACAAGUAUUUUUAAAGAUUUCAUUAAAAGACUACAUACAGAUUUAUAUAGACAUGGUUUAGAGCGUAGAUUCAUUUAUUUUGUUUCAUAUGUAGUCUUCUAGUAAAAUCUUUAAAAAAAACUUAUAUUUAGAAAUGGAGGGAGUAUAUACAAAGAAAAAUUAGUGAAUCUAUAUUUUAAAGUAUGUCUAUAUAUAUUCAUAUGUUUUUUUAAUGAAACCUUUAUAAAGACUUAUAUGUAAAAACGGAGGGAGUAUGUACAUAGUCUGCCUUUGUUCAAUUUGGAUGUCAACUCUCCCUUGGCCAUUGAUUUUUAGACAUUAUUAAGGAAAAUACUUAAUAUAUAAUGGUAUAUCAUGACUUCUGUUGCCAAAUUCAGCAGCAUAUUUUUCAUUUGGAAAAAUUAAAGAAUUAUAUAUUUGCAUUAUUUGCCUACUUUCAUUUGCUUUAGCACAUUGGGUUAGUAGAAUCAUUUCGAGUAGCCAUAAAUAUUUUAAGACGCGGUUGAAAAUAUACGGUACCCACAUUUAAGCAUAUAUCUGCGGUCAAAAGAUUGUCAUGCAUGCAUUCCAAAGCUCUGGGCACCAUACAUUUGUCAAAUAGUACUCCAGUAUUAUGGAAAUUCUGAAGAACAUGCAUUAUUCCAUAAGCGGACAGACCACACGUCAGCUAGCUUCUCUCAGUAGUUCAAAUCGUGCCUUAUAGUCCUUUCAUCCCCCCCCCCCCCUGNAGCUAGCUAGCUAGCUUCCGUCGCCGACGUCGACUCCUGCGAGGACGAGCAGGGCGACCGCCAGGACGGACGGGGCGGCGUCAGGGGAAGGGCGGCCGACGUUCGGGAACGUUCGAGGCGACGUAUGAUGUACAUGUACAACGAACGCGGAAGUUUCUGUGGCAGUUGGACUCCCGCCAACUGCUUUCUCUCGAUACAGGCCACCGUCGAAACGGACGCGAAAACUGUGUUUUUGUAAAUCAGGAGAAGCCUUUUACCACGUCCCGUAAAAAAUUUACGGAUCUAUCGCGUUUGCAUGAUCUGAUCGGACAGUUUUUGUCGCGUGAACCUGUAUUUUAAUUGUUAUUUUCAGGGACGAAUCUAGGGGGGUGGGAGGGGGGCUAGUGGCUGUUGUAGCAAAAAGAAAUUCAUUUCAUAUGAACUUUUCCCCUUCCAUGAACAAACUUCCCGCCUUAUACAUGCAUGAUGGUUCUGUCCCUGGUUAUUUUAUACUCCCUCCGUUUCUAAAUAUAAGUCUUUUAAGAGAUUUUAAUAGGGGUCUAUAUACGGAGUAAAAUGAAUGAAUCUACACUCUAAAAUAUGUCUAUAUACAUCCAUAUAUAGCGAAUAUUGCUUUUGGCUCUGGAGCUCACUAGAGGCCUUUAAAUUCAAACUUCAAAUUCAGUGAAAAUUUGUAUUUUAAUGUUUCAAAAAAUUCUGAAAAAAAUACAUAGAUAAAUGAAGGUAUAAUACACAAGUGUGUAAAUUUUCAGAACAAAAUACAUUGAAAUGUGGGCUGUGCAAAAAAGACAAAUCUGAGGCUGUUUAACACAUGUUACUAUUCAUCAUUUCAGACCAUGAAUUUGUCUUUUUUAUACAGAUCACGUUUUAAAGUAUUUUGACCUGAAAUUUUACACACACAUGUCGGUUACAUCCUUACAUACAUGCAUAUUUUUUUUCAGAAUUUUUUGAACCAUAAAAAUUUGAAUUUGAAUUUUUCAAAAAUAAAAGCCUCCGUGGCUCCCGGGAGCCAAAACGUCAUUCUCCAUAUAUAGUCCACUAGUAGAACCUCUAGAAAGACUUAUAUUUAGAUACGCACGGAGUAGAUGGGGCAUUAUCAAUAAUGCUAGACAUACAAAAACUUACAAAGGUUUACUCAACCUUUCAAACUAACUCUUCUCUCCCCCCUGAUUUUCAGUAAGGGUGGGGCCCCUCAUCCUUCAAUUACCAAUCACAAUCUUAUACAUCAGUUUAUACGUAAAAUCUUUACGUAAGCCUUUGUAUGUGUAACAUUACUCGGGCAUUAUAGGUGGUGUGCUAGCCUCUUACCCGAGCGGGUACCUACCCCUACGUGGCCUUCUUUGUCCGCGCGCGCGCACACAGUACACAAUGCGCGCACCAAUUAUCCGCAACAACGGCCGGCCCCCGGACCCACUAUGAGCUUCUGUUGUAACCGCCGGUAUGAUCCGUCUCGCCUGGCUCGUCCUAUAAAUAGGGCGCGGCGCCUGGCCAUGGAAGAUAUCUCUCCAUCCGCACACAUCUUGCACUACUACUUGCUAGAUACGCACCUGUCUCGCAGUUGACGCUAGCUAGCUUACCUAGCUCCAUCCGCACACAUCCAUGGCGGCUCGCAUCGGCGCUGUCGUGCUCUGCAUGUUCUUGAUCGUUAGCGCGGGGCUGGUAGCCACGCCGGCCGAAGCUCGCGCCGUGCCGGAGGCCGUCUACGCCGCCGCGGUCGCCAAUGCAGCCGGCGGCGGUGGCGUCCGUCGUGGGAGGUGGAACAGCGCGAGGAGGCUGGAGGGUGACGCCGCCCGGAAGCGGGAGGUGCCCGGCGGCCCGGACCCGCAGCACCAUCACUAGAGAAAGUGUGUGAUCAGCUGCGACGUGCCAGGCCAACGUACGUACGUACAUAAUGCAAAUGAACUCCCGUGGAGCGUCGGAUUUGGGUCAGUAUUUGAAGAAAGUACAGUUUGCAUUUGGUUCAGGGAGCCGUGUGUGUUGCCGCUCCGUUCAUUUAAUUUGCGUACUUUAUAUGAACGCAAAAAUGGUAGUACGACCGAGUUGUAAUAAGCAAACGCAGAUAAUAAUACUUCUGUGUUUGCAAUGAUCUACUGUAUCGGUGAAGACUGGAUUGUUCCUUUUUAAUUAGCCUGGUCAUCUCCUACGUGGUGUUUGGAUAAUAUAUUGUUCCUAACGUACGGUGUCGAUCGCGACCUUUCACUUGAGAGGUUGAUCAUGGCAUCAUGCACGAUGAACGUCUGCAUGCGGAUCUACUUUUGUGGUCGGCCGACGCACAUUAUUUUGUUUUAUAUUUAAAAAAAUAAGUACGUGCAACUUUCCAGUGAGUGUGACCGUAAACCGACUGUAAUCACGAACCGCUACCCCAUGAUACAUGAGGUUAGCAAAAUUAAAAUUCAAAAGACUGUAAUCACGAACCGCCAAUGGGAUCGGCGGCGCGUCAUCUGGCUCAUCGUGGUAGGCUCAGAAAGACCAGUGAGUAGUGGAGAGAUAUACUUUCCAUCAAGAUCGGCGAACGGGCGGAACAACGGAACGAGAGCCUGGGCUGGGGCCGACGGCAUGGUGCGGAUCGAGCAUGGCAGCCGUCUUUCCUACACGGAAUCCCCUCCAGCUCGCUUCAUCCUUGUGCAUAAAAUGCAUGCCACGGCCUAUAGUAUAUAGACAUAUUUUAAAAUAUAGAUUUAUUUUAAUUUAUUUUAUAUGUAAUCUGUAGCAGAUCUAAAAAAAUAUAUAUUAGAAAACGGAGGGAGUAGCUUUUGAUUUAGGUUAUUCCGUUCAUACAUAAUUUAUCCAAAAUUAAUCUUUAAAAUCCUGCAGGAACGCGCGGGGAAACCACCUUGUUUAUUGAAUCAUCUAGUUCAACUUCUUCCUCCAUUUGGAACUGAUAUCAUAGGGGGAGUGGGGGUGCUGCUUAAACUACUCCCACCUUCAUGUUCACGUGGUCUAUAAGAACUUGCACGUCCUUGAUGUGAAAGAAAAUCACAACUUUGUAGCCCUCGUGAGCGCAACCUCUCUUUCUAUCAAGGUGGUUGUCAUCAUGCGAGCAAGGUAGUGGUGGGCGGCAGGGAAGCACUCUGGCUUGACGGUUGAUUCAACCUUGUGGUGUGUGUCCUCCUCGACCGAGUCGAACCACAACCAAGCUCUUUCCCAGAAUUUUCUCUCGGCAUGGUCCUCUUCAAUUUCGUCGGGGAAAGGUCCACAAGGAGGGCUCGACCACCGUGACAUGGUGGAUGAAUGGGGUGAGUGUGUCCGCAAAGGAGAAGAUGGGUGAGGAGUAGCACCAAUGGACAAGGAAGAUGCAUCAAGAGUGGCGUUGUCGAGUGGGGUGGGCCGGUUUGUAUACCCACGAAUGGGCACACUCUGGUGUGAAACGAGGAUGAAUUUGAUGUGUACAUGUGGAAAUGGGUGUGAAACGUGGUGACGGCUAUUAAGAGCAUCUCCAGCUGCACCCCCAACAGGCCUCCUGGGCGUGUUCUUUUCCGCCGGCGUUGAGAAAUUGCCCCAGUUGUGCCCCUGGGACAUCGAUUUUCGCCGGUUGGGCCCAUUUUCUGGCCCGACGAUCCCAGGCCGAACCCAGUGCACCGGGAGGCGCUUGGGGGCUCCGGCGUAACGGAAAAUGGCGUGUGGGCCGCCACUGUUAUGCAAAAACGGUUUUCCACCUCCAGAUCCCCUCCGCCCGCGCACUAGACCUUUCAUCGCCUUGCCGAUCCCGACAACGCCCACCUACAUACCGUCGCUAGAAAGGCCAUCUCCCCGACGAGAAAGGGAGAGUUCGCUGCGGCUUCGCCCCCUUGCUUCUGGGCAAGCUUUUUCGAUGCUCUGGCCACGCACGCGGGCGCGUGUCUGCCACGCCCGCCACGUGUUCGGCGAUGGACUCUGACGACGAGGAGGCAUUCGUGGCGUUGCUGGAGGAGGAAGCCGAUGCUGACGCCCAGGACGAAGAGCACCUCAGGGUCCUCGCCGCUCUGGCCGGCCAGUUCGGGAGCAACGCAAAGCCGCGGCGAGGUGGCUCGACGUCGGGUCGACUGAAGGAAAAAACAGAGGCAUCGACUGGAAGGCUAUUACUUGCUCUACACCAACUACUUCGUCGACACUCCUCUACAUGGUGACAAAGUACUUCGGCGCCAUUAUCGGAUGAGCCAGAAGCUCUUCCUCAGGAUUGUGAAAUCCAUCACGGAGUUCGACAAUUGCUUCAAGUGCAAAAAGAAUUGCACCGACACAUUUGGAUUCACCUCACUCCAGAAGUGCAUGGCAUCUAUGGGGAUGCUUGCAUAUGGAGCUCCCGGUGAUAUUCUGGAAGACUAUAGACGCAUGGACGAGUCCACCAUCAUUGAGUCUUUGUACAAGUUCUGCAGGGCAAUGGUGGCAGUGUUUGGACCUCAAUACUUGCGAUCACCCAAUGCUGAAGACACUGCUCGGAUCCUAGCACAGAAUGCAGCAAGAGGAUUUCCUAUGAUGCUUGGAAGUAUCGAUUGCGUGCAUUGGAAAUGAAAAAACUAUCCAUUUUCUUGGCAGAGGAUGUACAAAGGCGUCAAAGGAGGUUGCAAUGUGGUACUUGAGGCAGUGGCCACAUAGGACCUCUGGAUUUGGCACUCCUUCUUUGGUAUGCGAGGAACUCAUGAUGACAUCGACGUACUGCAGUGCUCAAAUGUCUUUGCCAUGCUUGUUGAAGGUCAUGCUCCCCCGAUUAACUACGCGGUCAAUGGACGCCACUACAACAAGGGAUACUACCUAGGAGAUGGCAUAUAUCCGAGAUGGUCCACAUUUAUGAAGAUUAUCUCAAACCCUGGCCAGGAGGCAAGAACUCCUACUUUGCCAAUCGCCAGGAAGUUUACAGGAAGGAUGUCGAACGGGCAUUUGGUGUGCUUCAAUCUCGAUUUGCUGUUGUCCGGCACCCCGCUCAGACCUUGUCAAAAGAUCAAAUGUGGGAAGUCAUGACUUGUUGUGUCAUCUUGCACAACAUGAUCACUGAGAGCUAGCAGGAAGAGCUAGUGUUCGACAGUGAACCAUAUUACAGCAGGGCCCUCUUGCCCAAGUUGAUCACUAGCUACCGACAACCUGGACUGGCUUCCUCAACAUGCGUCAGGAGAUCCGAGACUCACAGGUGCAUCAACAACCGCAUCACAAUUUGGUGGAGCACCUAUGGAGGCUCAAGGGCAACGCCUAGCUCGAUGUGCGGUGAAUUAUGAGUUUUUUAUUUGUUGAACCAUUUUUAUUUGUAUUGAUUUCUGCGAUGAACUAUGUGAUGAAAAAUAAGCAUUUUCUGAAUUUCUGCCGAAGCACGCUGAAUAUGGGCCAAAAUUAAUAGAAUUUUGCAUCAAAAGUGGCCCAAUUGCGCCGAAAGGUGACCAAAAUCGGCGGUUAUGGGCAACCUUGGGGGGGGGACUAGAAACCCAAGGUCCCCCACGCCGAUUUUUUCACCGACGCACCCCGAGGCGACGCUAUUCCUAGUGAAAAAGAGGUUGCGAGCAGCAAAAGUGGAGGCGGCAACCAUACUAAUGGUUGUGACAUUAGAAAGAGUACGCGUCGGAGGAAGAAAAUAGACUAAACCUCCCUCCGGCCUGGGUGAAUGGAUUUGGAGCUCGAUUCAUACCAGCGCUAGACUCCAAAGCUCCAAAAAAUUGGAGACCUAGGCCGAUAUGGCGACUCUUUUUUCACACCUCGAAUGUCAGCAAACAUUUGUUAUGGCAAUUUCUUGACUCGGUUAGAGUUAGUUGCUCUUAGUAAAGUUACCAUGUAACACAAUUCUCACUUCCAUGUACGUCAUAUCAAACAUGUGGACGGAGGGAAGCAUGUUUUCCAAUCAGUGGCUUGCCCACAUUGAAGUUACAGGUUAGGCAAUUGAGGACAUCAAGCUAUAUGAUCUUUCAAUUUUACCCAUGGUUAUGAGUACCCAUCGCAACCUCACCCUCAUGGGCAUGUUUUGGACACAUUUUUGUGGCUAUGGGUACCAUUCGAACCAUUGCCUGGUUAGUCAUGGAUAUAGUAUGGGUACACUUUUUUUCGAAUGGGUAUGUACGAACCCGACCUGACAAGCUGCGAUGUGGGGCCAUACUAUUGUUUCCGUUCUCAAACUAUUAAAGUCAUACACAUUAAUCGUGUGAUGUGUGUUUAUGCAUGAAGCCUUUUGUUCAAAUUCUUGAAGUCCUUUGUUUAAGCUACUAAACUAAUUUUAUUUGACCAUGCCAUUAGUCUGAGUUGAGUUUCUUAUUUCGGUAAAAAAAUACUACUGAAUGCCAAUAUAUUUCAAUAAGUAUGUUGAGCUGCCUGUUGGAUACCAAUCAGGCAAUUGCCCCUCGAGUACGGUCAUGAGCAUGGUUUUGCGCCUCUCGGUAUGGGUGUGGGAUUGUUGUACUCAACCCAUUGCCAUCCUUAUGGAUGAUUUUCGAUUUUCAUUAUUUUCACUAGUAGUAUUGCAUAGUUUGUAAUUUUAUUUAGUUUUAUUAGUUUCCAUUGUUUUUUCGUGUGUACAUGUGUUUUGGAGUAACAUAGAACCCAGCACGAUGAAAAGGCAAAGGAUGGGUUCAAUAUAGAGGACUUCGAGGCACCAGGCUUACAAAUUUUGAAUGUCAAAAAUGAAAGAAAACAAAGUGCUCCAAAUUAAUAUCUAAUACCACAGGUGCAUCGGCGGCGUUGAUACAAUUCCAACGAUCCCAAGAACAUCAAAAUUUGAGUUUGUAUGAAGAAAUGACGAUUGUUUUACCGGAGGAGCACUUAAUGGCGUGUGGUAUGAGCAUGCCGCUCGUACCAAUUCCAGACAAGAUUGUAAAGGUUUAGAUCAGACGGGAUUCUUCACCAAUUUUGUCCCCGUUUGUCCCUGAAACUUCCUUGUCUAUUAAGGAAUGUUUUGAGAGAAGAUUAGGCUUAUCUAGAUACCUUAGAUCAAAGGAGAAAACCUACAUCUAGGAAGGAGGCUUUGGGAGAUACCUUAUAUAUGCACCUCCAACCCUAGCUGCUUGCAUCAUCAGUCAUUCAUCCAAGAUCAAUCUCAUCUCCAUUAAGUUAUGGUCUAGGACCACCUCCAUAGAGUAAGAAGGUCCAAGACGAGGAAAGGAAGAGGAGGCUCCGCCACUGCACCAUCUCCACCGACGGCGUCACCACCAUCUCCAUCGUCGGCGCUACCUCUAUCAUGACAUGCUCCUCUCCUUCACCGGCUCCAUGCGAGCUUGUAACGCACCUCCCCCCUCUAUGUUACCCCUUCGUAUGUUUGAGUAAUUGGACUAGUUCUUGAGGAUUUGGAUGAACCCUUGCAUGAUUAUCACUUAUUGUUUACAAGUGAUCAGAUCAUUCUCUUUAUAUAUGUUGUGUUGAUUUUAUCAUGGUGUUUUGAAGAGGGAUCACUCAACAUUAGCCCCUCGUGGGAGGGUAUUAUUAUUGGUGUGAAUGACUAUUGUGGAGGUUUGUAGUUACAAUGUACAUUACGGAUAUUUUUCCCGGAUCAUCGCAAUGGGGAGUAACGAAGAACAUAAAGCUUUAUGUCAUGUUCAUGGGGAAACACUUAAUCACCAUAGUGUUAGUGGGGAUACACUGGUGAUGGCGGGCGUCAUACAUCGUUGUUGUUGGUAAGAAUGUAUCUUUGUCUUGCUCCGCCCACACAUAAUCAUAUUCAUGUGAAUUAGUGAUACAAACAUAGAGCUAUGCAUUCACAUGUGUUGUCAGCAUUAUGUAUGGUGAUGACUACGAAACCUUUGAGAAUGCUUUACUACUCAAGCACCAUCCGCUUAGUUUAGCUCCCUUCUAUUUUUCUUCUUUUAUAUUUUUGUUUGUAGUUUAGGAAAACCACCCUUUUUAUUUGUCUUCCUAGCAACCAACUAAAGUAGACCAUUUCUAAACUUUGGUUUGGGUGCGUACAGAACCGCCUAGGUCAUGACAUAGGUGUUGGGUUACUAUUGCCUUCCUUUUCGUUUUAUGUGGAUUUGACAGUCUAUUUUUGACAGUCUAUUUACCGUGAAAGUGCUACAACACUCUCUUGUUCUUGCAUGACAUCACUUGCUUGUUCUUUAACUUUCUCAAUUUUAUGAAAAACAAGCAUCCUCGUGUAUAUAAGUGUCUUCCCAUUUUUAGUGCUCCCGACAAAUUUGAAAAAAAAACUCGUUUCAAACUUUAAUUGCUCCAUUUUCCUGCUUGAAAAGAAGACAUAAUUUUGUCCAAAGACAAACAUUGCAAAGUUUGGUCAAGUCUAUAGGGGAAUCAUUCAACAUAUCAAAACAAUGUUAUAUUGUGUAUUUAAUGAUGCUAUGUUAGUAAAACAGUUGUUAAUAAUUUUUUCUGUAAGCUUGGUCAAAGUUUGAACCGUUUUUAUCUGAGACAAAAUUUAUACAACUUCUUUUCAAGCACAUGGAGUACUUCAAUAAUACCGUGAACUUUGUAUUUUUACUCACGGUCUUUACUUUACACUACAUAACAUUUAUUGACUUGUCUCUACAAGAAAAACCUGCACCUAUGAACUUGACUCUUAGUAAAGUACACAUUAUAAUUGUUUAGAAGGUUUCACAUAAGUCUUGAGAAUUGGAGGCAUACGUACUUUCUCUUGACGGGUUCGACCCUCAUUAGUUUCUCAUCCAUAAUUUAAAAGUGUUACAAUUAUCCCUAUCACUUGGCGGUUAAUCAUUGCCAACUUCGAGAAUGGUGUUUUUCCUGCUAGGCUUCCUUGUCUAAUGUCCAGAACUUCUAGGUUACGUUGCUUUUUCGUCCAAUUGUCAGCUGAUUUUGGAGGCUACUUAAAUAAGGCACCUACACACCUUCAAAGGGUAGAAGCUCCGCGACCCUUUGUUGUGGGAGAACUCCAUUUUGCUUCUCUGUGUUAUUACUCUUUUUCCUUAGUACUUCGUUGAACAUCUUUGCCAAAGGGUUCUUUCUAGCUGACCUAUGCAAGUUAUUAUUACCCUUGGAGGUUGAACGUCCCCUCGACAAUUGGUCUCACAUUUAAGCCUUCAUUGUGCAAACGAGCUAAAAAGUUUGUGAAGCUUGGGAGCACGCCCACUUCAUGUGGAGGUCUACCAAAGUGAUUGGUCAUGAGUUUUGUGUCCUAAGCCAAGAAGGUAUAGGUGGGACUUGGUGAUAGAGGUCUUUGUGACCUUAGGACUUUCCUAGCCUCCCCAAUUAUGGCAUAUGAUUCUGCAAAGGAUCUGAACGUCGAAUAGAUCUUGUGUUCCUUAUUCCUUGUUUCUGUCCAUUUACCUUUUGAAGGUUAAUUCUGCACCAGUAUUUACUUAGACUUGCACCAUGGGAUGCUUUAGAGGAGUGGCGGCGCCAAGAAAUGAAGGUUGGGUAUUCAUCCAAUUUUUUUUCCUCUAAAUGUAGUAUAUGAACCAAACAACACAACAUAAUAAAACAACACUAGCAUAACGGCAAUAGCAAUAUUUCAAUGUAUCAAACCAUAAUGACAUGAAUACAUAAGUACCUUUUGAUUGACAAAGUGAUGAUAUCCUUCUUACAAUAUAACUCUGCGGUCGCCUUUUUGGAAGAGAUUGAUGCCAUCUUCAUCCUUCACUUGAUUGAAAGAGGUCUUUGUGUGGAUGUAAAAGUUAUUUUCCUUGCCUUUGAAGAUUUGUCCCACAAUUUAAAUAGGCUAACAUCCUUUUUUCAUCUACAUCAUAGAUCACAUAAACGAAGUACAAAUUAAUGGCAUGGCAAUAUGAAUGGCUUCUACUCCUUAUAGCAAUCAUAGGCAGUGGCAUUUAUAAAAAAAUCUUCAGAUUUCUUAAAUAAAUAGAGGGCAAAAAAAACCUUGUUGGACUUGGAGCAGCGUAGUACUGGAGCGGUGGAGGUAGAAUGGUGUGUGGUGGUCGUCUGGUGGAGCCGUGGAAGGCGCCAACCGCCAGGCCAGCGGCAGCAGGGGUGGCCGGUCGGCCGGGGGUCCGGUGAAAGGGAUCCCGAGCCGGUCCGGCCACCCGGGGAGGCCGGGUCGUCGGGAGGCGGUCAGGCAGAGGCCGGAGGGGCCUUAAGGGAGAGCCGGAGAGGGUCAGGCGCCCGACGCCAGGCCGGAUUGGAGGAGAGGAAGAGGGCCGACCGCUGCGGCCCGCGGGUAGGUUAGGGUUGGGGGCUUGGGGCGGGAGGAGAGGGAUCGAGGGGAGGGAUCGAUGUUUCAGCGCCUCGGGCUGGCUCGCGCGGGUUACGAGACGUCCUCGCCGGCUCACUCUUCUGUCCAGCUGAAUUAAUAUGCCUAUUCAAAAAAUGAGCGAAAAUCUUGAGUAUUCCAGAGAAGUCCCAGGAAUGCCCCAACGCCGCCCCUGCUUUAGAGGUGCUAAUGGGCAUCUAGCACAUAAAUACAUCCUAACCCCAACGCAAUGCCAUUACAAUUGUUC
rnacentral:lncRNA from 1 species